CGUGGGUGAUCUACCCUCAAGUGGGGAAUAACGCUGCGAAAGCAGUGCUAAUACCGCAUAAGCUUGAUGCGAAAGCAUUAAGUAAAGCUAAGGCGCUUGAGGACGAGCCUGCGGCUGAUUAGCUAGAUGGUGGGGUAACGGCCUACCAUGGCGAUGAUCAGUAGCCGGCCUGAGAGGGCUGACGGCCACACUGGGACUGAGACACGGCCCAG
rnacentral:rRNA from 1 species